rnacentral:rRNA from 1 species
GAUGAACGCUGGCGGCGUGCCUAAUACAUGCAAGUCGAGCGAACAGACGAGGAGCUUGCUCCUCUGACGUUAGCGGCGGACGGGUGAGUAACACGUGGAUAACCUACCUAUAAGACUGGGAUAACUUCGGGAAACCGGAGCUAAUACCGGAUAAUAUAUUGAACCGCAUGGUUCAAUAGUGAAAGUCGGUUUUGCUGUCACUUAUAGAUGGAUCCGCGCCGCAUUAGCUAGUUGGUAAGGUAACAGCUUACCAAGGCAACGAUGCGUAGCCGACCUGAGAGGGUGAUCGGCCACACUGGAACUGAGACACGGUCCAGACUCCUACGGGAGGCAGCAGUAGGGAAUCUUCCGCAAUGGGCGAAAGCCUGACGGAGCAACGCCGCGUGAGUGAUGAAGGUCUUCGGAUCGUAAAACUCUGUUAUUAGGGAAGAACAAAUGUGUAAGUAACUAUGCACGUCUUGACGGUACCUAAUCAGAAAGCCACGGCUAACUACGUG